GGCGUUUAUCACAUCGCCGCUCUCAAGGCCUCCAGACGUCCGCCGCAACAACAUCUUUUAUUUUGACACACACCAGCACCAUGUGGUCCUGAUGCACAGAGUCUGUUAUAAAGGGGAAAAGGCCUUAAAUGUUAAAACACACAUACUUCAAAUUUAAAUCCACAAGGAAAUCCACUGGAAAGACACAGAAUGACACGUCCCACAUUCAGGUAUAAAUAAUGUGAUGUAAUAAUAAACACCAUCACAUCCUGAAGCACUCCAGCCCCCCCGCAACCCUGUGUGCAGGAUAAGCGGUUUGACAAUGGAUGGAUGGAUGGAUGGACAUCCUGAAGCAUCCAGCUCACAGCUCAGUCAGGAAGCCCGGCGCUGCGUGACGACCUCUGACCUUUGGAGGGCCGACCCCUCUGCGACUGCCUCCUCCUGUGACUUCCACUCGCCUCCUUAAAUAAAGCUUCAUCCAGAACAACUCCACCCGAAGUCCUUCAUCAAACACAAAGGAGCGAGGCGAUCGAUAUCAAACCCCCGACAGCAACACACGUCUGUGUGUGUGUGUGUGUGUGUGUGUGUGUGUGUGUGUGUGCGUGUGUGUGUGUGCGUGUGUGUGUUAACACCGACGACAGCUUUUUAUCGGCUCAGUCAAGGUCGCUGGUCUCCAUUCAGUUUUUACAUUAAUUCAGCUCUGCACAUUUACAACAUUUAGGAGGUUUAAAUGUAUAUAAGUACAUAUGUAAGUAUGUAUUUGUACAGCGUUUAAUCACUUGAUUAGUUUAAAAUCUAGAAAUUCAUGGGAAAAAAUGACAAAACAUAGUAGGUAAAAAAAUGUAUAUUUUUAAAAUGCAAAACAUAGAAAAAAGUAGACAAAUAUUAUGAAAAAAAUGUUUUUAAAAAACAUUCAAAAUACGUUGUGUCUAAAAAAUGUCAUGGAAAAAGAAUAUCAUAAAGAUUAGGUCCUCGUAUUCGUAAGUAUUUGGCAAACAAAAGUCAAAAUAUGUAAGGUGGAAAAGAAAGUUUACUGUCGAAAAAUACAGGAAUAAAUUUAUAUCUCUGCUGAAAACGGCAAAGUAGCAUUUAUGAUUAAUGUGAUUCGGGUGCGUUUUCUUUGGGAAGGUUUGACUCAUUUUCAAAGAGACACGUUGUGAUUUUAGACUCUCGUGUUUCGAACGGUUCGUGGCUGCAUUAUAUUUGUUCGUGAUAAGUACAGAAUUGUUGGGUUGGAACUCGGUUCCGGCUCUGUUCUUAAACCUCGGGCGCAAAGUGUUUAAAAUAAAUAAAAAACUGUAUUUAUUAUUUACUUUUAUUCAUCACGACAAGAGAGAGCAAGAAAAGCCCUCGUAAAAUAACAAAAUAAAAGCCUCGAUCCAAAACGUUGAAAAACGUAUGAGAUAUUGGUGGAAAACCAAUAAAACACAAGUGAAAUGUCCACUUGAGGAACGGGGGAAGCAAUGAGGACAUUUAAUUGUCUGUUGGGAUGGAAACCCACUGG
ensembl:lncRNA